ensembl:lncRNA
UAGCUUUGGAACGUAGCAGCCUGUUCGAGUCCCGUGAAGCCUAUACUGUAGGCAAUACAUUUGUCCUUGCUGAGACUACAGCUGUGCAUGCCCCAUGCAGACCCACCACCGCAGAUGUUUCCUCAGGAGAAAAAGAAGUCAGCUACCCAGGAAGGGUGACCUGUGCCCUUUCCUGCCUCUUGCUGUCUGUCACCUUCAACGAGAGCUCACUAAGCUUUGCUCUGCAGGAAGCACAAUUAAAUGCUAACAUCUCCAUUGCACUCCCAUCAGGUGAGUCCACUCUGGAAAUUUAUUUGGUGGCUCAUGGAAUCAGAUGGCGAGGCAGACAUUGUGACUGUAACACUGUAGCACUGGAUACCCCUUU